rnacentral:rRNA from 1 species
UACGGGGGGAGCAAGCGUUGUUCGGAUUUACUGGGCGUAAAGGGCGCGUAGGCGGUCAGCACAAGUCAGUUGUGAAAUCUCCGGGCUUAACCCGGAAAGGUCAACCGAUACUGCGGGGCUAGAGUGCAGAAGGGGCAACUGGAAUUCUCGGUGUAGCGGUGAAAUGCGUAGAUAUCGAGAGGAACACCUGCGGCGAAGGCGGGUUGCUGGGCUGACACUGACGCUGAGGCGCGAAAGCUAGGGGAGCGAACGGG